GGCUGCGUCUGGAAGGCUGCGCGUGGAGCGAUGGGGCGGAACGCCGGCCGUUGCUGCUGCCAGGGCCAGGGGCUGGCGGUGAGGAGGGGCGGCUUCGCCCAGGGACUGCGUGUGCGGUGCUGUGGCCUGCACCUCAUACAGACCGAGCCACAGAGCAGCCCUGCUCGGCCGGCCGGCCAGCUCCAGCCCCUGCCUCCUUGGGGCUGCCGGAGGUCCUGGGGCCAGGGCAUGGGCACAGGUUGGCUGACAAAGGGGGAGGUGCACAGUUAGGGUUGGGGGUGGCUGAGGAAGUGGGUUUGGGAUGUCUGCAUAGCAUGGGGUCCCUGGGCUCCCCGAAUGCCCCUUUGGGACCUCUCCGCUGGCUGUGGGUGCUGAGCGCCUCCUGCUGUUGGCUCAGCCUCGGGGCUCCCUGGGCUGCCGGCUGCGCGUUGUCAGUGCGUGGUGCUGACUUUGCUCCCAGCAGGGCGGGGAGCUGCUGGGAAUUGGCUUGGUGCGCCCGCCGCCGGCUGGUUCCCCAGUGCACGACAGGUGCUUCCUGGGAGCUGUGCUGAGCGCAGGCCGCCGGCAGGCAGCCAUCACAGGCCGGGUUACCAGGGAGCUGGCCAGCUGCUCUGAACACACACACAGACACGUGUGCACACCCGUGCAGUCUGUGCUCCCGCCCUGGACACACUGCUACUGGAAAAGACACGCUCGGCGUCUCUGCUUUCACGUCCGGGAGUCCCUAAUGAGGUUCCCUUUCAGGGGCCGCACACUGGAUCCCUGGUGUGGGACAUCAGUCAGGGGCAGGAUCGGGACACUGGAUCCCCAGUGUGGGACAUCCGUCAGGAGCAGGAUCGGGACACUGGAUCCCCGGUGUGGGACAUCUGUCGUGGCAGGAUCGGGACACUGGAUCCCCGGCGUGGGACAUCCGUCAGGAGCAGGAUCGGGACACUGGAUCCCCAGUGUGGGACAUCCGUCAGGGGCAGGAUCCUCAGCCCUCGUGUCCUUGCGUUUCUUGCUCCCAGGUUUGUCUCCGCAGGUGGCCUCUGCCUGGAAGAGGCCGCAGGAGGGGUGCGGGGUGAACGCCCCUGGACGUCUCUCAGCUCACUGCGUGUCCACGGGGGUUCCUGGUCGCUGUCCUUCUUCUCAGUCCUCGGCUGUGCUUGGGGACACGUGUAGAAUGUCUGCUCCUACACCGUGGUCAAACCUCCGGUCCUCGGCCUGGGUCCAGGAGAGGGACCGUGAGUGACAGCGCCCUCCCACGCUUAGCUGGCGGGAGACCCAAGACGGCAGAGGCCCUGCCCUUCCAUGGACCCCACCCAGAACCCAGGCACCCGACACUGUGACAGAGAGGCCCGGCUCUGGUCCUACCGAGAGCCUUGCCUGUCCUAUGACGUACCGGAACCCUGUGCUCCGUCCACGUCUGCAAAGAGGACCACGGGGAGGCAUUUCCCCUGGGCCGGACUCACCGAGCCCUGCAGCCGGCUGGCCUGGCACAGCAGGAGGUCCAGCAUCAGGCCCAGGGCCACGUGGGGCUGAGGCUUUGCGUGCGCUUCCUUGGACACAGGUCCCACAGACCUGAAGGCCAGUGAACAAGAGAGACGUCAUGUGCAGGCCCCGCCCCAGUCUGCAACAGCAGGACAAGUGCGGGCUCCCUGCUCAGGGUGCUGGCACCGGGAGCGGGGCUGGCAGAGGGCGCCUGAGACUCACCGAACCA